GACGGGUGAGUAAUGCCUAGGAAUCUGCCUGGUAGUGGGGGACAACGUUUCGAAAGGAACGCUAAUACCGCAUACGUCCUACGGGAGAAAGCAGGGGACCUUCGGGCCUUGCGCUAUCAGAUGAGCCUAGGUCGGAUUAGCUAGUUGGUGAGGUAAUGGCUCACCAAGGCGACGAUCCGUAACUGGUCUGAGAGGAUGAUCAGUCACACUGGAACUGAGACACGGUCCAGACUCCUACGGGAGGCAGCAGUGGGGAAUAUUGGACAAUGGGCGAAAGCCUGAUCCAGCCAUGCCGCGUGUGUGAAGAAGGUCUUCGGAUUGUAAAGCACUUUAAGUUGGGAGGAAGGGCAGUAAGUUAAUACCUUGCUGUUUUGACGUUACCGACAGAAUAAGCACCGGCUAACUCUGUGCCAGCAGCCGCGGUAAUACAGAGGGUGCAAGCGUUAAUCGGAAUUACUGGGCGUAAAGCGCGCGUAGGUGGUUCGUUAAGUUGGAUGUGAAAGCCCCGGGCUCAACCUGGGAACUGCAUCCAAAACUGGCGAGCUAGAGUACGGUAGAGG
rnacentral:rRNA from 1 species